rnacentral:rRNA from 1 species
UACGUAGGGGGGCAAGCGUUGUCCGGAUUUAUUGGGCGUAAAGAGCGUGUAGGCGGCCAAGCAGGUCCGCUGUGAAAACUCGAGGCUUAACCUCGAGAUGUCAUCGGAAACCAUCUGGCUAGAGUCCGGAAGAGGAGAGUGGAAUUCCUGGUGUAGCGGUGAAAUGCGCAGAUAUCAGGAAGAACACCAAUGGCGAAAGCAGCUCUCUGGGACGGUACUGACGCUGAGACGCGAAAGCGUGGGGAGCGAACAGG